rnacentral:rRNA from 1 species
CCUACGGGAGGCAGCAGUGAGGAAUAUUGGUCAAUGGGCGGGAGCCUGAACCAGCCAAGUCGCGUGAGGGACGACGGUCCUAUGGAUUGUAAACCUCUUUUGUCGGGGAACAAAGGCGCCCACGGGUGGGCGGAUGAGUGUACCCGAAGAAAAAGCAUCGGCCAACACCGUGCCAGCAGCCGCGGAAAUACGGAGGAUGCGGGCGUUAUCCGGAUUUAUUGGGGUUAAAGGGGGCGUAGGCGGACAGUCAAGUCAGCGGUAAAAUGGCGGUGCUAAAGGCCGUACGGCCGUUGAAACUGGGGGUCUUGAGUGGGCGAGAGGUAGGCGGAAUGCGUGGUGUAGCGGUGAAAUGCAUAGAUAUCAGGCGGAACACCAGUUGCGAAGGCGGCAUGCCGGCGCGCAACUGACGCUGAGGCGCGAAAGCGUGGGUAGCGAACAGGAUUAGAUACCCCAGUAGUC